CAUGUCCUUUAGAAUUUAAUUUAAGGUCUAGCCUGCCCACUGAAAUUAAUUUAAAUGGCCGCAGUAAUUUGACUGUGCAAAGGUAGCAUAAUCAUUAGUUUUUUAAUUAAAAGCUUGUAUGAAAGGUUGGACGAGGUAAAAUCUGUCUCUAAUUAAUUUAACUUAGAAUUUAACUUUUAAGUCAAAAGGCUUAAAUUUAAUUAAAAGACGAGAAGACCCUAUAGAUCUUUAUAAUUUAUUUAUUAAAUUUAAUUAAGAAUUUUUUAAAUUUUAUUAAUUUAAUUAUUUUAUUGGGGUAAUAUAAAGAUUAAAUUAAUUCUUUUUUUUUAUUAACAUUAAUUUAUGAUUUUAUGAUCCAAUUUUAUUGGUUAUAAGAUUAAGUUACCUUAGGGAUAACAGCGUUAUUUUUUUAGAGAGUUCUUAUCGAUAAAAAAGUUUACGACCUCGAUGUUGGAUUAAAGAUUAUUUCAGGUGUAGAAGUUUGAAAAUUUUGGUCUGUUCGACCAUUAAAUCUUUACAUGAUCUGAGUUCAGACCGGUGUAAGCCAGGUCGGUUUCUAUCUUUAAUAAAUUAAAAUAUUUUAGUACGAAAGGACCAAUUAUUUAAUAUAAAAUAUUUAAAUUUUGUUUAUUAUU
rnacentral:rRNA from 1 species